rnacentral:misc_RNA from 1 species
CGUUAUGAUGGGAUUCCAUUAUCAUGGGACGAACGUGCUGUUACAUCUUGUUCUGGAGGACUGGGUAAUCGCAGCACAGGGGACAACUUCCACAUGGUUCCAAACAUUGAUCAUACCCAACAGUUUGUUCGAACAGAUAUUACAGCAUGGCUGCAGUGGCUUCGUAAUAGUGUUGGCUUUCAAGAUUUCCGUUUUGACUUUGCAAGAGGUUACUCACCCAAAUACGUGAAAGAAUACAUUGAAGAAGCAAAACCAAUAUUUUCUGUCGGGGAGUAUUGGGAUUCUUGCAACUACAAUGGCUCAUAUUUGGAAUACGACCAAGAUAGCCACCGGCAACGGAUUAUCGAUUGGAUUGAUGGCACAGGACAGCUCUCAACUGCAUUUGACUUCACUACAAAGGGAAUU